UGCAUUCCAGCCUGGGUGACAAGAGUGAAACUCCAUCUCAAAAAAAAGAAAAAGAAAAAAAGAAUGGAGUCCAAUUUCCCUUCCCUUGAAUAUGGGCUGCUUCUAGUAAUUAGCUUUUAAUAAAUGGGAUACAGAGGAACUGACGCAACAUGACUUCUGAGGCCAGGUUAUAAGAGCAGAUCAGCUGCCACCCAGGCUUUCUCUCCUUGGGACACUCAUACAUAGAUCCAGGUGCUGUGAUGCAAGGAAACCUAGGCCACACAGAGAGAGGCAUAUAUAGGUGAUCUAGCUGAAACCCCAGCUGUGAGGAAGCCUGCAGGCCCCAACCGUGGCUUGACUACAACUGCCUGAAAGAUCCCAGCAAGAAUUGCCUCGCUGAGUCCAGUCAACUGCAGGAACAGAGUGAGCUAGCUGACAUGCUGGACAGCUCCAGAUGGCAAGAAAUUGAGGUUGAUCCCUGCCAACAGUUUGUAAGAAACUGAAUCCCGUCAACAAGCAGACUUGAAAUAAUCUCAGAUUCCCCCCGCCUCCCAACCAAGAAGCAUCUGAGAGCUGGACACAGUGGCUCAAGCCUGUAAUCC